GCGAUUUUCAUAUGGCAAUAAAAGAAAAAUUUCAUCUGUCAACUGAAAUUUCGAGGAAUUGUUUUUGGUUUGGCUUCAAAUUUCCUUUAAAAAGUGAUGAAAAUGUCUAAGAAACCUCUUCGAUUGCAAGCAAGACAUAUUGUUUUCAAUGUUUAUCAAAGAAUACUUGAUCAACAAGAUGCAGAACAUACACAAUCAUCGAUAUUGAGCCAUGUGCAAGCAUUGACUGGGGUUUCUUAUACUACAAAUAAACUAGGAUAGUUUUGAUUUAGAAUUGAUCAGAAACAAGAUAAAUGAGUUUUACACUGUUUCUUUCUCUCAAAUAGGGAUUGAUGAAUAGCGAAAAUCUUGUGAACAUGUAAUAAAAAUUGAAAAUCAGUUCAUAGAACAAGAUCGGUUUAUUGAGAUGCAGGAGGAAAGGUUUAUUAUAAAUACUGCGUUGAAGACUUUUUUAUGGAUGUGCAGUAUUCGGAACCAUUUUCAAGUUCUUAAUUAAU